UACGGGGGGGCAAGCGUUGUUCGGAAUUACUGGGCGUAAAGGGCUCGUAGGUGGCCAACUAAGUCAGACGUGAAAUCCCUCGGCUUAACCGGGGAACUGCGUCUGAUACUGGAUGGCUUGAGUUUGGGAGAGGGACGCGGAAUUCCAGGUGUAGCGGUGAAAAUGCGUAGAUAUCUGGAGGAACACCGGUGGCGAAGGCGGGCGUCCUGGACCAACACUGACACUGAGGAGCGAAAGCCAGGGGAGCAAACGGGG
rnacentral:rRNA from 1 species